rnacentral:rRNA from 1 species
CAGCCGCCACGGUAAUACGUAGGGUGCAAGCGUUAAUCGGAAUUACUGGGCGUAAAGCGUGCGCAGGCGGUUUGUUAAGACAGAUGUGAAAUCCCCGGGCUCAACCUGGGAACUGCAUUUGUGACUGGCAGGCUAGAGUAUGGCAGAGGGGGGUGGAAUUCCGCGUGUAGCAGUGAAAUGCGUAGAUAUGCGGAGGAACACCGAUGGCGAAGGCAGCCCCCUGGGCCAAUACUGACGCUCAUGCACGAAAGCGUGGGGAGCAAACAGGAUUAGAUACCCGUGUAGUCCCUGUCUCUUAUAC